AGAGUUUGAUCCUGGCUCAGCCUGAACGCUGGCGGCGUGGCUAAGACAUGCAAGUCGUACGGGCGCAGCAAUGCGUCAGUGGCGAACGGGUGAGUAAUGUGUCGCUAACGUGCCCCCCAGCCGGGGAUAGCCGUCCGAAAGGGCGGGUAAUACCCGAUGAGACCACGGAGUCGCAUGACUCUGUGCUCAAAGCAGCAAUGCGCCGGGGGAGCGGGCGACAUCGUAUCAGCUAGUUGGUGAGGGUAACGGCCCACCAAGGCGACGACGCGUAGCUGGUCUGAGAGGACGGCCAGCCACAUUGGGACUGAGACACUGCCCAGACUCCUACGGGGGGCUGCAGUAACGAAUCUUCCGCAAUGCACGAAAGUGUGACGGAGCGACGCCGCGUGCGGGACGAAGCCCUUCGGGGUGUAAACCGCUGUCAGGGGUUACCAAGUCCUGAGGAGCCCCAGAGGAAGGCACGGCUAACUCUGUGCCAGCAGCCGCGGUAAGACAGAGGUGCCGAGCGUUAGGCGGAAUCACUGGGCUUAAAGCGUGUGUAGGCGGACAUCUAAGUGUCUUGUGAAAUCCCACGGCUCAACCGUGGAACUGCUGGGCAUACUGGAUGUCUUGGGCCACCUAGGGGUCGUCGGAACAGGCGGUGGAGCGGUGAAAUGCGUAGAUAUCGCCUGGAACGCCAACGGCGAAAGCAGACGACUGGGGGUGUGCCGACGCUGAGACACGAAAGCCAGGGGAGCGAACGGGAUUAGAUACCCCGGUAGUCC
rnacentral:rRNA from 1 species